rnacentral:rRNA from 1 species
AUUGAACGCUGGCGGCAGGCCUAACACAUGCAAGUCGAGCGGAUGAAGGGAGCUUGCUCCUGGAUUCAGCGGCGGACGGGCGAGUAAUGCCUAGGAAUCUGCCUGGUAGUGGGGGAUAACGUCCGGAAACGGGCGCUAAUACCGCAUACGUCCUGAGGGAGAAAGUGGGGGAUCUUCGGACCUCACGCUAUCAGAUGAGCCUAGGUCGGAUUAGCUAGUUGGUGGGGUAAAGGCCUACCAAGGCGACGAUCCGUAACUGGUCUGAGAGGAUGAUCAGUCACACUGGAACUGAGACACGGUCCAAACUCCUACGGGAGGCAGCAGUGGGGAAUAUUGGACAAUGGGCGAAAGCCUGAUCCAGCCAUGCCGCGUGUGUGAAGAAGGUCUUCGGAUUGUAAAGCACUUUAAGUUGGGAGGAAGGGCAGUAAGUUAAUACCUUGCUGUUUUGACGUUACCAACAGAAUAAGCACCGGCUAACUUCGUG